AGUUGUGAGGGCGAUCUGGCUGCAGCAUCUGUCACCCCAUUGAUCGCCAGGGUUGAUUCGGCUGAUCUGGCUGGCUAGGCGGGUGUCCCCUUCCUUCCUCACCGCUCCAUGUGCGUCCCUCCUGAAGCUGCGCGCUCGGUGGAAGAGGACGACCAUCCUAGAUAGAAGGCGUGUACCGUUCUUCGGUCAAGGGUAUACGAUAGCUGCGCUCUCCUGCUAGAACCUCCAAACAAUUUUAUUAUUUAUACCCCACCAUUCUGGAUGAGGUUUCCCAACCACUCUGGGCAGCUCCCAGCAGAAUAGUAAAAACAUGAUAAAACAUCAAACAUUAAAAAACUUCCCUAAACAGGGCUGCCUUCAGAU